rnacentral:rRNA from 1 species
UACGUAGGUGGCAAGCGUUAUCCGGAAUUAUUGGGCGUAAAGAGCGCGCAGGUGGUUGAUUAAGUCUGAUGUGAAAGCCCACGGCUUAACCGUGGAGGGUCAUUGGAAACUGGUCGACUUGAGUGCAGAAGAGGGAAGUGGAAUUCCAUGUGUAGCGGUGAAAUGCGUAGAGAUAUGGAGGAACACCAGUGGCGAAGGCGGCUUCCUGGUCUGUAACUGACACUGAGGCGCGAAAGUGUGGGGAGCAAACAGGAUUAGAUACCCCU